rnacentral:rRNA from 1 species
UACGUAGGUGGCGAGCGUUGUCCGGAUUUACUGGGCGUAAAGCGCGCGUAGGCGGCUUUCUAAGUCCUGUCGUGAAAGGUCGCGGCCCAACUGCGACAGUGCGCGGGAUACUGGGGAGCUUGAGGGCAGCAGAGGCCGGUGGAAUUCCCGGUGGAGUGGUGAAAUGCGUAGAUAUCGGGAGGAACACCAGAGGCGAAGGCGGCCGGCUGGGCUGUACCUGACGCUGAGGCGCGAAAGCGUGGGGAGCGAACCGG